GAGCCGGUGACGGUAAGGCGAAACCCCCACGAAAAAGCCAUCUCAGUUCGGAUUGCAGCCUGCAACUCGGCUGCAUGAAGUUGGAUUCGCUAGUAAUCGCGCAUCAGCCAUGGCGCGGUGAAUACGUUCCCGGGCCUUGUACACACCGCCCGUCAAGCCAUGGGAGCCGGGGGCGCCUGAAGUCCGGGACCGCGAGGACCGGCCUAGGGCGAAACUGGUAACUGGGGCUAAGUCGUAACAAGGUAUC
rnacentral:rRNA from 1 species